UCUGCUCUCGCUCUGUGUGAGGUGGAGGUCUAUGGAAAACUUUUAGUUCAGAGAAGAAAAACUUUUCUGAGGCUGAAGUUCUCCUCCAGUGUUGAUGUAGCUGCUGAGAGCGACACAAUCCUCCAUCAGCUGCAGUCUGCUCUGGCAUCACACAUCUCUGAUUUUAAUCUGUCCUGGACACAACUACCUGAGUAAGAAGAAGAACAGGAGGAGGAUGACGAAGG